UGCGCAGGCGGAACUUUAAGUCAGUGGUGAAAUCUUGCCGCUUAACGGUAAAAUUGCCAUUGAUACUGAAGUUCUUGAAUAUGGUUGAGGUAGGCGGAAUGUGUUGUGUAGCGGUGAAAUGCAUAGAUAUGACACAGAACGCCGAUUGCGAAGGCAGCUUACUAAGCCAUAAUUGACGCUGAGGCACGAAAGCGUGGGGAGCGAACAGGAUUAGAUACCCUGGUAGUCC
rnacentral:rRNA from 1 species